GUCUGCCCCAACUCGCAGAAUCGAUUAACAUGUAACGUAACUAACGUGAUUGCUUUACUACUAGAAGCUCAAAAUUGAAAAUCAUUUAUUAUCCCAUAGACUGAUCAGUACGUAUCAUAAUAAACGACGAGUUUUGAGUUUCGACCAUUCGACCAAGUCGCUAAAAUGUUGCUUUCUCGACAAUUCUUUCUCUCUUCCUCUAUCUCUCAUUGAUUAAUUGUUGUGCAGUCUACGCCCGCAUCGCACGAAAACGGCAAAGAAGAUUGCAAAGAGCCAUGAUCAGGGACGCAAAAAGUGCAUUAGAAGAUUACAAUUAUAGUAAGUUACCGCAGGAAACUACUACUCUUGAGGCUCAUAAGAAACGCAAAGCGCUCACAGAUGCUAUACGAGAGAUUGAACAAGAACAGGCCCAAGUAAAU